UCAACGUGUAAUAUCUGCGGCAACGCGGCGGAGGAUGAACAUCAUGCAGUGAUCACAUGCUCAAAGAGCAGGGCCCUCCGAGAGGCCAUGAGGAAGGAGUGGACACUACCAUCAGAGAAAUCUUUCAGAAAUACAGGAACUGACUGGCUGCAGGUCCUGCUAGACAGAGAACCUGAGGAAAUGCGGUCAAAAAUCUUACUCCUGUUAUGGAGGUGCUGGCACCUGAGAGAUGACAUGUUACGACACAACGGCAAAGAAUCUAUCUUAGGCUCUGUACAAUUCCUAAAGAAAUACGUCGAGGAAUUAGUUACAGCGGCAAUGGCUGAUAAUGUGCCCAGGAUUGGAGAGGCGGAUAAUACAUGCUGCAUACGGGGACAAAGCAUGCAGUGGACGGGACCAGUACAAGGCACGGUUAAGCUGAAUACCGACGCAGCUUUCCAAGCCGAUUCAGGCGAAUCCGCUGCUGGAGCAGUCGCCAGGGACAGCAAAGGCCAUGUGGUUGUCUCACUCUGGAAGCCUGUCAGCUAG
rnacentral:rRNA from 1 species